rnacentral:lncRNA from 1 species
CUUAAUUUAUUAUUUUUUUUUUUUUCUGAUAAGAUUUUUAUGUACUCCUUUCCUGCUAAAUAACCAUCUUCUUCCUUUCGUCUUAUUGUUAUUUUUUGUUCAGUAUUUUUUUGAUUUAUCUCCGAUUUUGCAUUUUCUUUAGUAAUAUGGUCAGUUUUAAACAAAAGUAAAAAAUUUUGGUUUUCUUUUAUAAAUUCAUUAUUAUUUUCUUCUUUUUUUUCGAUUUCUUUAGUAUUGUUUAUUAAAUUUGUUUUAUUAAUAUGUAAGUUAUUUUGGUUGUUUUGCUUUUGUUUGGAUAAUUUUUCCAUUUUUUCAUUAUACAUAUUAUAGCUAUAUACAUCCUUAAAGUUCUUUAUUCUGCUGUCUUGAUCCAAUUCAUUUUCUUUAAAACCUAAUUCAUUUAAGUCUUGUCUUUCAAGUAAGUUUUUAUCCAUUCUACAAAUAAAAUAUUCUUUAGAAUAAUUUCUGCAACUCAAGUGAUCAUUAUUAUGUUUUUUUUAAACAUUUCAAAUACUUAUUUUUUAUUGAUGUGCAUUCACUAUUGUGAUCUAAAAGAAAACUCCCUCUAUCGGGUUUUUUAACAAUGCUUCUUUUUUUAUCCAUUAUUUUAUAAGUUUUUGAAAAAAAAAAUAUAUAUUUUGUCCAUUUUUCAUACUUUAUGCUGUUUAAACAUUUUUAUUUAUAAUGCCCAUAUUUCUCUUUUUUUUAUUUUGCUUAUUUUACGUGCUUUGCUUGUUAUGUUAUGUUGUGUUAUGUUUUUUUUGUUAUUUUUUUUUUUUUUUUUUUUUUUUUUAUUGUUUAAUGAACCAUUUUUUUCUGAUUAUUAUUGAAAUCUUCUAAUAGACUAAUAAAUUCAUUUUUUAUACCCCCA